CGGAGCGGACUUGUUCCGUGACGGCGUACCUUUUGUAUAAUGGGUCAGCGACUUACAUUCAGUGGCAAGCUUAACCGAGUAGGGAAGGCGUAGCGAAAGCGAGUCCGAAUAGGGCGUCUAGUCGCUGGGUGUAGACCCGAAACCAGAUGAUCUAUCCAUGGCCAGGUUGAAGGUUGGGUAACACCAACUGGAGGACCGAACCCACUAACGUUGAAAAGUUAGGGGAUGAGCUGUGGAUAGGGGUGAAAGGCUAAACAAAUCUGGAAAUAGCUGGUUCUCCCCGAAAACUAUUUAGGUAGUGCCUCGAGUCUCACUACAGGGGGUAGAGCACUGUUAUGGCUAGGGGGUCAUCGCGACUUACCAAACCAUGGCAAACUCCGAAUACCUGUAAGUGCAAUCUCGGGAGACAGACAUCGGGUGCUAACGUCCGGUGUCAAGAGGGAAACAACCCAGACCGCCAGCUAAGGUCCCUAAUAUCUGCUAAGUGGAAAACGAAGUGGGAAGGCUAAAACAGUCAGGAGGUUGGCUUAGAAGCAGCCACCCUUUAAAGAAAGCGUAAUAGCUCACUGAUCGAGUCGUCCUGCGCGGAAGAUGUAACGGGGCUAAGCAGAUAACCGAAGCUGCGGAUGUACACGUAAGUGUAUGUGGUAGGGGAGCGUUCUGUAAGCCUGCGAAGGUGUGUUGUAAAGCAUGCUGGAGGUAUCAGAAGUGCGAAUGCUGACAUGAGUAGCGAUAAACAGAGUGAAAGGCUCUGUCGCCGUAAGCCCAAGGUUUCCUACGCAACGUUCAUCGGCGUAGGGUUAGUCGGCCCCUAAGGCGAGGCAGAAAUGCGUAGUCGAUGGGAAGCAGGUUAAUAUUCCUGCACCGACGUGUAAUGCGAUGGGGGGACGGAUCGUGGAAAGUGGUCCAGGUGUUGGAUAUCCUGGUCCCUGCAUCAUAGAGGACAGUUAGGCAAAUCCGGCUGUCAUAUACUCAAGGGUGUGGGGGGAAGUAGCUACGGCUACGAACCCAUUGGAAGUGGUCCCAAGAAAAGCCUCUAAGCUUCAGUUACACGUUGACCGUACCGCAAACCGACACAGGUGGGCGGGAUGAGUAUUCUAAGGCGCUUGAGAGAACUCAGGAGAAGGAACUCGGCAAAUUGGUACCGUAACUUCGGGAGAAGGUACGCCCUUGUAGUUUGACCAUGAACAAUGGAAGGACGAAGGGGUUGCAAUAAAAUGGUGGCUGCGACUGUUUAAUAAAAACACAGCUCUCUGCAAACACGAAAGUGGACGUAUAGGGAGUGACGCCUGCCCGGUGCUGGAAGAUUAAAUGAUGGGGUGCAAGCUCUUGACUGAAGUCCCAGUAAACGGCGGCCGUAACUAUAACGGUCCUAAGGUAGCGAAAUUCCUUGUC
rnacentral:rRNA from 1 species